CACCCCCAUCCUCACCCCCUACCUCCGAUUAAAUAGACACACGUGUGUCUGUUGAAAUAUUCAGGUCGAGUGGCAUUCAGCGUGUGUUUGCAUACAUUACUGCCCACACAGAAUCCUAGGCAAAUAAAGGUGGAAAGUUACAUUUUUCUAAGCUGUAUAUUGAUUCCAAUUCUGGUUCUUUUUUAUCUGCUGCCUGAUCUUAAUUAUCCAGCUGUUAGUCAUUUCUAAGAAGCUGCUGGGGUAACUCCGAGUGAUUUGAGCUGCGAUGUAUGAAGUGGUGAACGCACCUUAGUGUUCCAGGCAUACCUUUCAAGUAAUGAAGGCUCACAGGAAUUGGGCUCGUAAUAAAUAGCUUUUAUUACCCAAAGCGGUUGUUCUGGCAGCCAAGCGACAGCACUUUGAUAGAUGGGCCGGGUAGUUUCACAUGUUAUGCUUACUCAGAGUUAGUAGGAAAUAACGGAGGGGGAAGACCAAAAAAAAAAGGUGUGUGGGGGGGGAGAGACUUGGCAAAGCCAAUCUUAUGGGUAUAGGGGAACUGCAGAUCUCAGAAUUCCGAAACAAGAGCUAGAGCUGAAAUGUGAUUCUCUAGUGCCUGGCGUAGCUCGUAUCUUGCCGGUUACAAUUGUGCAGGACGCUCAGAGGAGCCUUUUGGAUCGUACAAUGAACUUGGGGGGACCAUGCAGCCGAGCAAUCCAGUGAGGCACCUGGAAGUUUGGCUAGGGAGGAUUUCGAGGGGGGUUUUCUGAUGCUUGGGAGAAUCCUGACUGCUUUCCGCUGUGUGGAGGAGGACUCCAGUUUCCCCAUGAGGGGCCCACUUGGAAAAGCCUUCUGUGCAGACUCCCAGCUGAGCUGCUGUGUUUGUUAUUUACCAAAAACCUUUUCUCACCUUUGCUGAUUUGGUUCAUGCGAUUUACACCUACUGAGCCGCGGGAAGGAUUUUUAGGAUGGAUUGUCUGUGCAUUGUCACCACCAAGCACAACCAAGGAAAAUGCCCAGCCCAGAACUGCUCAGUGGAACCCCCUGCCUGGAUGCCUGUUCACCACUGUACUAGUUGAUGUGUAGAGGUAGUGAACUCUCUAAUGGCCCCACUCACCAACACUUGGACUCUUCAGAUCAGAACAUCCACCCUUUCCACUAUUUCCUCAUAUAUUUAUUUCCCUAUAUAGACUGUGAACAACCUGAAAGCAGAAAUUGUAAAGAGAUAAAGAGUUCAUAAUCAAAUUUGUGUCAGUCUGGUGAAAAUCAUGGUUUCCUUCUCAGAAUAAUGUUUUUAAAUGCACAAAAUGAAAGACUGGAUUAAAAACUAAAUAUUGAAACAGCUAUUAAAUACAUAGACUGCACAUUAUAUUUAGAGUUUCCUUUUCUUUUCAAAGGGUCUAAUGUAGUGGUUGAUAGUAAAUAUUUAAAAUUGUUCAUUCAUUCAUUAAUUCAUCAUUUAAUGAAUAGUGCCUCUUAGUAGCAAAAGAAGUAUUGAGAUGAUCACCUGGUAGUUGCUGCCAGAAUUCAUGCACCACUGAUAAAAUCAGCCAGAUAUCAUGGUCACCUCAUUCAUUCCUUAUUUAUUUCAUUCAUUCAUGAGGCAGAUUGAAAUAUUUGGACAAUAGGGGUAAUCUCUAUAUGCAUGAAGCCUGAGACAUGAAACUAGAUGUAGAGAGGGUCAUCUCUUAGAAGGGACAAUAAUAAUAUUCCUUAUUAAAAAACAAGUGGCUUCUAUUCCAUUCCAUCCAUGAGAGGCUCUCACAGUACCUGGAAUUUCCUUCUUUAAGAUAUUCACAGGGGAGCCCAGGAGUUGGGAACUGCUUAUCUAGAUUUGGGCUAUAGGGUAGUGAAGCAAAGGCAGACAACUAUUUAUAUUAGAGGACCUUUAGCUCACAGCUAUAGAAAUCUGGGAUUUAAACCUAUGCAUGUUGAAACAUUUCCCUUUUGUAUAGGCUCUAGCUUUGGAAAAUUUCCCUUCUCCCUUUCUAUCCCCACUAUACCUCUGUCAACUAUUUGCUCAGCUCAG
ensembl:lncRNA